UGGGGAAUUUUGGACAAUGGGCGAAAGCCUGAUCCAGCAAUGCCGCGUGUGUGAAGAAGGCCUUCGGGUUGUAAAGCACUUUUGUCCGGAAAGAAAUGGCUCUGGUUAAUACCUGGGGUCGAUGACGGUACCGGAAGAAUAAGGACCGGCUAACUACGUGCCAGCAGCCGCGGUAAUACGUAGGGUCCAAGCGUUAAUCGGAAUUACUGGGCGUAAAGCGUGCGCAGGCGGUUGUGCAAGACCGAUGUGAAAUCCCCGAGCUUAACUUGGGAAUUGCAUUGGUGACUGCACGGCUAGAGUGUGUCAGAGGGGGGUAGAAUUCCACGUGUAGCAGUGAAAUGCGUAGAGAUGUGGAGGAAUACCGAUGGCGAAGGCAGCCCCCUGGGAUAACACUGACGCUCAUGCACGAAAGCGUGGGGAGCAAACAGGAUUAGAUACCCUGGUAGUCCACGCCCUAAACGAUGUCAACUAGUUGUUGGGGAUUCAUUUCCUUAGUAACGUAGCUAACGCGUGAAGUUUGGACCGCCUGGGGAGUACGGUCGCAAGAUUAAAAGCUC
rnacentral:rRNA from 1 species